AAAAGAUCUGACAGCGUCAUCAAAGAACCAGCUUGCAGGAAACAAAAUGAGAGUGAUUCCGAAUGGGUUCGAGCAAAUUUGGGUCCAUUCGUCCAAUACACAGCAAUCUCUGAUAUCAAAGACUUCAACAUCUCUACGGCUGGAUUGUUGUCAGCGCUCAGUCCCUCUGAG